AUUGAACGCUGGCGGCAGGCCUAACACAUGCAAGUCGAACGAGUGGCGGACGGGUGAGUAAUGUCUGGGCAACUGCCUGAUGGAGGGGGAUAACUACUGGAAACGGUAGCUAAUACAGCAUACAAUCAGAUGUGCCCAUAUGGGAUGAGCUAGGGGUUGUGGUAAAGGAGCACCAAGGCGACGAUCCCUAGCUGGUCUGAGAGGAUGCCCAGUCACACUGGAACUGAGACACGGUCCAGAUGCCUACGGGAGGAAGCAGUGGGGAAUAUUUGACAAUGGGCGAAAGCCUGAUGCAGCCAUGCCGCGUGUAUGAAGAGGGCCUUCGGGUUGUAAAGUACUUUCAGCUGGUAGGCGUUACCCGCAGAAGAAGCACCGGCUAACUCCGUGCCAGCAGCCGCGGUAAUAG
rnacentral:rRNA from 1 species